UCUAACAUGACGAACCCUAAUUUCCCAUUCCCCUCUUUGGUCUCAUCACCCGACGAAUCGCUCCUCCACUCCGGCUAUCCGCAGCUGCAACUCCAGUGAAUCGACUCACCGGUGCACCUCCUCCUGGUCGUCGAUGUUUAUCUUCCUUCUCCUUACAAGAGAAUCAUGGAUUCUUGAUUUAAUCUCUCUCUUCUCCGAUAGAAACAAAGUGAAUCACUUCACCGGAAUCUCAAACCCGCGCCUUACUGUUUCAAACAGAGAUCUCUUCGAUUGUGUUACCCUUCAUGUUUACUCAUCGACCUAAUCAUUUUCAAUACAGAGUAUGGAGCUUCACAUUUGGUUACUGACUUCUCUCCUUUACGGGAAAUUAGAAGCUGUAGAGACGAGGUUCCACCUCCGGGUAAAGAUUCCUUAUAUAAUAGACUGUUCCUAAUGGGAAUUGAAGCUGUUCUUGGUCUUGCACCUGCACCAGAAUACACUUUCCUUAGCUUAUCUAUGUUUCUCCUGUUGGAAACUACUUCAAGGUUGUUCAAGCUUGACUAGUGGAUACUUAGUGAGAGUUGUUAUGACUUUGGAUUUAGUUACUGGUAAUUGUUAUGUAUGUGUUACGUGUUGUACUCGGAUUCUUGUAAACAAUAGUAAAUGUGUUUUAGCUGUAAGUUGUUGCACUCUUUUCUCA